CAAGGGACCCAGGAACUGUCCAGCCAGAUCUGGUGCUGAAAUUGCCUCCCGAACUGGUUACUUUCUUUGGUUGUGCAGGCGGAGGAGGGGCUGUUUUGGAAAGUGACUAUUCUGGCUUUUUGUUGGUUUCUUUCUUCUUUUCCUACAAUCGGGUUUGCGUGUACUAUUGGUUUUCUUAUUAUUAAACAUUGCAUAAGUUACCCUUUUUUGUAAAAAAAAAAAAGUAGUAUUAGGUGAUGUGCAGUACUGAAAGUGCAGUAUCUAACCAACCAGAAUGUUUCUGUUUAAUUUUUGGAACAAGUACACCUUGUUAUAUAUUUACUAUAUUGGUACCAAAUACAGAAGCAAACUAUAGUUCUGUACUACAUCCUCCAAACUGUAUAUUCUUGUUCUUAAUUUCCAGCUGUUGAUAUAAUGGUUACCACUGGAUGAGGAAUUCAGUGGUGCAGGCCUGGCUUCUGCUGUUUCCAGAAGUGUUCUUUUGUACCUUACUCUGUAGUAGACUGUUAUAAAAAGAUGACACAUGUUUUCUUUUUUCUUUUGCAAAUAACAGAAACAACCACAAUAGAAAACAAACAAAUAAUGGAUGUGCAGGAAUGCCAUCUAUUAAAACAUGGUUAAUAUUUAAACAGUGCCUGUAGUCCUCCCUGCAUGCAGUUACCACCUGGAGGCAGUGGUGUGUGUGCUUGCUUGUACUGUAUGCGUUUGGGAUGAGACUGGUGGGGAUGUUGGGCAAUUUGGAUGACAGGACAUGCAAAUUUCAAGAGAAGUUAAAUGCAGUGACUACUUGUAGGACAAAAAUGUUUGCAGCUUGUUUAGUUAGAAAUCUGAGAUGCAGCAAAGGAAAGGCUCUCUUUCUCUUUCUGAGUCUGGCUUGCCUAACUUCACUGAAUAAAUGAAGAAAGAUUGAUAAAAGAGAAAGUGAGAGAAGAAGAUCAAUAAUUUUCUUCUCUCUUCUAAUGCCACACAAGGCCAUCUAUGUUAGAAAUGGAGUCCACCUGUGGUUAUUUACCACUUUGUUUCCCUUGGAUUGAUGAUAAAGGGGCCAGAGCAUAUUAUAAUCUUAAUUAUAUGCAGUGACAUCCUUUCUUAGGAACCAAUUCUUUGACAGCUGUUCAAACGUUUGGAAAAUGUAUGAAUAAGAAUGUUCUUAACAAAGCUCACCCAAAAGAGUUCUUACUAACCUGCAGGGUGUAAGGCGACAGUGCCCCUAAGUGCAUCCCUCUCCCAAGUAACCAAUAGUUCUCUCUUCUCUAUCUUGGUUCCAAGAGUAUGUGCUCUUAUCCAGAGGAAAUAUUACCUCUGAGGUUUUAGGUCAUCUCUUAAAUUGCCCAAGCUCAGUCUGCAUCUUUUAUAAAAAUAACUUAAUAAGCUUAAUUUUAAUCACCCAUUAGAUAUUCACUCAAGUCCUUUCCUGAAGCACAGAGGGUCAUCAUUUAAGCAUGCCGUGUUGUAAUAUUAGGAAGACCAGGUAUAAUCUUUGGGUACAAUAUAUUAAACAAUGAACCAGAUUCUCUCCAGUGCCUUAGUCACUUCCUAGUAAUAUGUAAAAGAGUGCAUUAGCUCCCUCAGGCCGCUAGGGAAUCCUUUAGUGCACCAGACCUCUACGUUGUACAUCAGAAUGACUAAGGCACUGUGAAGAAGAAAAUCCAUUAAUUUUUGUAGCUCACCCUCAUCCAGCUGUAGCUCUUUAAUACCUUAUUACAGAAUGACUUUUGGACUUGAAAUUUGAACAGAAUCAGGGACUCAGAAGGGAGCUUCCUCAUUUCCAAUGAGCUCCACUAAGUACGUGGAUAUUACUUUCUCUUCCUUAUUUGGUGCACUUUUUACAGUGAAUAAUUUCCCAUUUUAUUAAAGCAAUAAGAUGUUCUGUUGUGAGCAGUGCUGGAUGAUGAUUCCAUUUCCUUGGUGCUGAAGCUACUCAUACAUUCUUGCCUUAUGAAUCAUAGUGCAUUCAAGGCAUGCAAUAAUACUCCCCUUCCAAGGAGCAGCCUGUACACUGUAGGGGGUAAUUAUGAAAUUGUCCUAUAUAAUUUUUCCCCAAAGGAAUAGAAGAAACAGGAGAAACAAAAAGCAUUAUGAAUAUUGUUUUAAAAAAAGAUCUUGAUACCUCUAAACAUGGGCACACAUCCAUAAUAUGCUCUUAUUGUGCACCUUUAACUAUGUAUGCCUUUCUCUAUUAAUUGACUAUGGUUUAAUAUUUUUAUAGUGCUCUGUGUAAAGAUGAUAUGGUUUGUGAGUCAAAUUUCAUGCUGAGUUUAUUAUACUCAGAACCCUAAGCUUCCGUUGGUAUCACUUGAGAUUUUUUAUAAGAUAGAGAAUUACAAAAAUUCUAGUAACGCCAGUCCUCACACCAAAUUAUUGCAAUAAGCACAUAUCCAAGCAAUUUGCACAGACCCUGUUUAAAGCAUUGCUUUUUAUAGAGCUCUAUUGACAGUCUUAGGAGUCUGGGAUGCUACCAACAGGGCAUUUUGGAUUUCAUUUAUAUGAAACAAAAGGCAAUCUGGAAAUAGCUAAAUUUAUUUUAAGGAUUUUAUUCACUGAUGUCCCGUCAAACUAAUUGCUUCAAAUCCCUAUAGCUACAGUUCAACUUCUGCACUUGCUAUUCAGUAUUAAUAAGGUGGCAUGUUUGAUUCUUAUUGUUUUUUAAAAUGAGAAAAUUGGAGAGAGAAUACCAUUAUGUCAACUGUAUGGGACUCUGAAUCUUAAAGAUGUAGAUGGAUAUAAUCUUCUUUAGAAUUUAUAUACACCCAUAGAUGUGUAUUUAUAUAUGCAUACAUUUUGUACAAAUUUACAAUGGACUUUUUGUAUUCUCUUUUCUGUCAUUACAAGAAUGAGAUGGCAACCAAAUAGUUGUUCCAUCCUCUUAAUCCAGAGAGGAUACUGAGAAGUCAGGUAUAUGCAUGUAUUUAUUUCUCUGGGGUCAAAUCUGAAUGACUUUCUCUUUAUUUAAUGAAAGGAGAGAGUCCUGGUUGGCUUGGGGAAUUGGUAAUUAGAUAAGCUUCCUUUCCUAGUUAGUAACUCAAAUGUAGGAGUGAUAAUGAACUUAUGACCAUAUCUGUGUGGUCUAAAUAUCUAGAUGGAAAGCAAAAAUAUCUAGAAGAGGUUUAGGGCCAACUAGACCACAAACCUGCAUUGUGGCUCGAUUUUUUAUUUUCAACCUAUAUGUCGUGUGGAGAUACAAUUUAUAUCUGCAUAGCUAAAGUGAAAAUAUGACCAUUAUCUGUUUAGUUUGAUAAGUAGUUUUUGAAAAACAUGGAUAAAUUAGCUUUAAAAACCUUUGACAUCUGACUUUUCCACCACUUAUAUUUAUAUCAGUUGAAUUAAUUAGAUAAUAGUUAAAAUUCCAUUGUUUUCCAUUGUGCAGACAUAUGCUUUAAAUGCUUUUCUGUGGGUGAGAGUUGAGCAUUUGCUAGCUGAUAUUAUGUGAAAGUUAUAGGUUAAAUUAGAACCAGAAACUUUAAUCUAAUCUGGUCAGUCUCCUCAGGUCCAUUCCCAUGUGAAUCUGGACUUUGAAUCUGAGUCUGAAGUCACUUAUCUGAGCCAUCUUUUUUUGGAUUUUUAGUGAUUGUGGCUCAUAGAUGUUUUAGUCCACAUUAGAAUGAAUUGACCUAUCUAUAGAGGGGUAUUUAACCAUUGGAUUGAACAUAAAUCUGAUUAUGAUUUGGUUUUUGAUUUAUUUGAUAACAUUUGAGAAAUAGCUUUGAUGGCUUGACAUCAAUACUUAUUAAUGUCACCAACCUAAUAAUACAAUUGGUGCCGUGUAGGAAUGCUUAGCUAAGAAUAGGAAUUUAAUUAACUUUAAUUGAGGACAGUGUCUUGUCAAGGUGGUCCUACCAGUUUGAGGCAGGGACACUUGUGAUUUCACCGGGUUGUUUCUAUGGAGAGAUUAACGACAAAAACAAUGAUGACAACAAGAACAACAGAAAAACUGAUCUUGGAUCUCGAGUAUAUCCAACAGACAGAAUAAAGUAGAUAUUAGAAUUCAUGGAAAAUUCGUUUGCUUUUCUAUCAAUAAAAGAGUUUUCUUG